rnacentral:rRNA from 1 species
AUUGAACGCUGGCGGCAGGCCUAACACAUGCAAGUCGAGCGGCAGCGGGAAAGUAGCUUGCUACUUUUGCCGGCGAGCGGCGGACGGGUGAGUAAUGCCUGGGAAAUUGCCCAGUCGAGAGGGAUAACAGUUGGAAACGACUGCUAAUACCGCAUAUGCCCUACGGGGGAAAGCAGGGGACCUUCGGGCCUUGCGCGAUUGGAUAUGCCCAGGUGGGAUUAGCUAGUUGGUGAGGUAAUGGCUCACCAAGGCGACGAUCCCUAGCUGGUCUGAGAGGAUGAUCAGCCACACUGGAACUGAGACACGGUCCAGACUCCUACGGGAGGCAGCAGUGGGGAAUAUUGCACAAUGGGGGAAACCCUGAUGCAGCCAUGCCGCGUGUGUGAAGAAGGCCUUCGGGUUGUAAAGCACUUUCAGCGAGGAGGAAAGGUCAGCAGCUAAUACCUGCUGGCUGUGACGUUACUCGCAGAAGAAGCACCGGCUAACUCCGUGCCAGCCGCCGCGGUAAUAC